rnacentral:rRNA from 1 species
AUGAACGCUGGCGGCGUGCCUAACACAUGCAAGUCGAACGAAGCAUCUUACCCGAGGAAGAGGAGUGCUUGCACAAAUCGGACUCAACUUAGAUGACUUAGUGGCGGACGGGUGAGUAACGCGUGGGUAACCUACCCUAUACAGGGGGAUAACAGUUAGAAAUGACUGCUAAUACCGCAUAAGCGCACACUGUCGCAUGGCAGAGUGUGAAAAGCCGAGACGGUAUAGGAUGGACCCGCGUCUGAUUAGCCAGUUGGCAGGGUAACGGCCUACCAAAGCAACGAUCAGUAGCCGGCCUGAGAGGGUGAACGGCCACAUUGGGACUGAGACACGGCCCAAACUCCUACGGGAGGCAGCAGUGGGGGAUAUUGCACAAUGGGGGAAACCCUGAUGCAGCCGACGCCGCGUGAGUGAAGAAGUAUUUCGGUAUGUAAAGCUCUAUCAGCAGGGAAGAAAAUGACGGUACCUGACUAAGAAGCUCCGGCUAAAUACGUGCCAGCAGCAGC